UCAUGAACACCAAGCUGGCACUGGACAUUGAGAUCGCCACCUACCGCAAGCUGCUGGAGGGCGAGGAGAGUAGGUUGUCUGGAGAUGGAAUGGGCCCUGUGAACAUCUCUGUAGUGAAUUCCACUGGGAGCAGUGGCAGCAGGCUCAUCUUCGGGGGAACCAUGGGCAGCAAUGCUCUGAGUUUCUCAAGCAGUGGGGGUCCUGCGGGUCUCAAGGCCUAUUCCAUCAGGACCACAUCUACCACCCACAGGGGCCCCCACAACUGAGCACAUAUAACCAAGCUUGUGGGCUUGGAGAGUGCCCAUACCCCUUUGCCCACAUACAGGAGGACCCCUCAUGCCUCAUGUCCCGGUCCCAAGACGGGAAGAUGGUCUGAAACUGAUGCUGGUUUUAAUAAAGUUCUUCUCUGAGUGAGUUUCA